rnacentral:rRNA from 1 species
GACGAACGCUGGCGGCGUGCCUAAUACAUGCAAGUUGAGCGCUGAAGGUUGGUACUUGUGCCCACUGGAUGAGCAGCGAACGGGUGAGUAACGCGUGGGGAAUCUGCCUUUGAGCGGGGGACAACAUUUGGAAACGAAUGCUAAUACCGCAUAAAAACUUUAAACACAAGUUUUAAGUUUGAAAGAUGCAAUUGCAUCACUCAAAGAUGAUCCCGCGUUGUAUUAGCUAGUUGGUGAGGUAAAGGCUCACCAAGGCGAUGAUACAUAGCCGACCUGAGAGGGUGAUCGGCCACAUUGGGACUGAGACACGGCCCAAACUCCUACGGGAGGCAGCAGUAGGGAAUCUUCGGCAAUAGACGAAAGUCUGACCGAGCAACGCCGCGUGAGUGAAGAAGGUUUUCGGAUCGUAAAACUCUGUUGGUAGAGAAGAACGUUGGUGAGAGUGGAAAGCUCAUCAAGUGACGGUAACUACCCAGAAAGGGACGGCUAACUACGUG